rnacentral:rRNA from 1 species
ACGAACGCUGGCGGCAGGCCUAACACAUGCAAGUCGAGCGCCCUUUCGGGGGAGCGGCGGACGGGUGAGUAACGCGUGGGCAUAUGCCCUUCUCUACGGAAUAGCCUCGGGAAACUGAGAGUAAUACCGUAUACGCCCUGUGGGGGAAAGAUUUAUCGGGGAAGGAUUAGCCCGCGUUGGAUUAGGUAGUUGGUGGGGUAAUGGCCUACCAAGCCGACGAUCCAUAGCUGGUUUGAGAGGAUGUUCAGCCACACUGGGACUGAGACACGGCCCAGACUCCUACGGGAAGCAGCAGUGGGGAAUCUUAGACAAUGGGGGCAACCCUGAUCUAGCCAUGCCGCGUGAGUGAUGAAGGCCUUAGGGUUGUAAAGCUCUUUCAGCUGGGAAGAUAAUGACGGUACCAGCAGAAGAAGCCCCGGCUAACUCCGUG